GCAAAGUAAGCUAAUUUAAGCUUUUGGGCUCAUACUCCAAGAAUGGGGGUUAAAAUCUCCCCUUUGCA
rnacentral:tRNA from 1 species